CUCCAGGUGAGAUCAUGAGAAGCUAGGGAUGCCUAGUAUUUAGUUUAUAAGAACAGAGCGCCAAAGAAGAUUUUUUAAAAAAUUGCAGUGGAAAUUGCUGAUUGCUGGAAAAGAAGUUAACAUGAUCUUAUUUAAAACAAUGAAAAGAACUUUUUAGCAAUUAAUUUUCCCUAAGGUGAAAACUUCGCUAAGUCAAAGCUACGGUUUGAGAUUUAGCUGUGAGAAUUGCUCUAAUAUGGAGAGACAGCCUUUGGCAAAAGCAAGAGGGGAAGCUGGCUGAAAUUUCUGUAUUUCCACUCAGUUUCUCCAACAAAACCUGCUGGUUGAAGGUCCUGCACUCGGUGGAUCAGCUGUCACCACCAAGACUGACAAACUGGCUCAUCUAGUCUUGUGGCCCGCACCCAGCAACUGACUCAGCACCAGAGGACAGCUUCACUUCCCUGAUUUCAUCUCCAACCCAACUGACCAGAACUCCCAACUCACUGGCCUUCCCCUACCCACCAAAUUAUCCUUAGAAACUCUGAUCCCCUAGUGCUCGGAAGACUGAUUUGAGUAAUCAUAAAACUCCAGUCCCCCACACGGCUGGCUCUGUGUGAAUUACUCUUUCUCUAUUGCAAUCUUCCUGUCUUGAUAAGUCAGCUCUGUUCAGGCCACAGGCAAGGUGAACCCUGGGCUGUUACACCCUGAUGGGGUUACCUUUGAGAAGAAAGCAUCUCCAGAACGCAAGAAACAGAAUCUUUCUUUUGCCUUUUCCAGCUGUCUUGGAGGGAGACUUUUACCAAAGCUCCAGGUCACUUUGCACACAGGGCUGCGCUUGGGGCAGAGCGGCUCUGACCAUAUAUUUAGGCCAAGCUGGGGCCUUCUAUUAAUACCACUGGCGAUUUGGAAGCAGACUCAUCAGGUUGGUGUAUGUGAUGAAUAGCCAUGGAUAUUUAUAUAUUUAUAUAUGCAUCACUUAACAAGGGGAAUAUGUUCUGAGAAAUACAUUAAGCAAGUUCAUCAUUGUGCAAACAUCAUGGAGUGUACUUACACAAACCAAUAUGGUGUAGCCUAUUAGACACCUGGACUGUCUGGUAUUGUCUAUUGCUCCUCCACUGCAAACCUGUACAGCAUGUUACUGUGUUGAAUACUGCAUGCAAUUGUAAUGCAAUGGUAAGUAUUAGCAUAUCUAAACAUGCCUAAACAUAGAAAAGGAACAGUAAAAAUGCAGGAUUACAAUCUCUUUGGACCCCUGUCAUAUAGACAGUCUGUUGUUGACUGAAAUGUACUUAUAGUUGUAUGGCGCUUGACUGUAUUUCCAUGAAA
rnacentral:lncRNA from 1 species